rnacentral:lncRNA from 1 species
GCUUGUCUCCUCUCGGGAAAGGAUAUCUUGUAUAGAGAUGUGCGAUAUUCCAGUUGCUUCUUAAUGCGCUCUUUAAAAUGCUUCGAUCUUGUCUGUCAGGUAUCUGUGACAGAAAAAUAAAGGUUACAUUCCCAAAACACAGGAGGUAACCAGAUGAGGAGAGCAAUAUCUCUUUUCAAAUGCUGGUAUUGAAGAGGUGGAUAGAGUGAGACUGUGACGUAUCAGGAUGAAAAAAUGUAGUUAAGAAGAAAGGAAAUAGGCUGAUCUUAAGUUCCACGUAGCUGAGGGAAUGUCUACAUCUUUGGUCUCUUGUGUUUCUCACUUGAGGCAAACGAAGCACCACUGCUACAUGUGAAACUGAAACAAACGAGGCAGUAGGUGAAAGACACAGAAAUCAGCCGUCGGGCUUCGGAUCCUCUGCGAGUAUUAGAGGAUGGAAUGAAAAAUGCAGAAUUACUGCCAGAUAGUUUCUGCCAGUUAUGUGCUCAGGAAGAGAGAUAAUCCAUCCAGAGCAUGAGGCUAACGCUGGAGCAAAGUUUAGAUGUCUUAUUUUCAUCGUGACCUUAGAACUUAAAAAUCAGUGAAAAUCAGCUGCCGUCAUCUUAACUCUGAACUGAAUUUGCUUUGUAACCUAAAGAGGUUGUAAUUUUGCAAAUAGGUAACACUUGAGAUAUUGUUUGUAUCGUUAAUACUGUAUUGCAUGUGUUAUGAGCAUUGAUGCUGCUAGAUCUCUCAAUGGCUCAGGUUAGCGAAAGUUGUUUAAAGAAGUCUCUGAC